CUUACAUUCUUUCCACCCCUCUUGCUUGAUGUUUUCUGUAGGAGGGGUUGAAGUUAAUACAGAGACUAUCAUCUUUUUAGCUUUUUAUUAGUAUGUAAAUACCAUGUGCUGAUCAAAUUUCACCUUACUUUUUCUGCCCUACACAAAUAUUGGUUGGUUGGUUGGUUGGUUGGUUGGUUGGUUGGUUGGUUGGUUGGCUACCCACCUGCUUGCUUAUAUUACUUUCAGAUAUCAUGUUAAAAGUCAGCUGGCAAGUAAGCAUGGUGAUACAAUCAAUGCUUGAGUCAUAGAAGCUGAAUGUAAUAGUUCACACAUGGACAUUUGGAAGGCAGAGGCAGGAGGAUUAUGAGUUCAAGGUUUCCCAGACAGGAGGACCAUUCCAUGCCAUGUGGCUUAACCUAUGUUCAAGGAACAACAGUAUGAUGGGGACAUGCGAAAGACACCAGAUAAAAGGUUGGGCCAUCCCAGAAGCAUAAAAGAUCAACAGAGAAAAAAGCCUUCAUCAGGGCUUUGCCAAGACACCAGAUUAUUCCACGUGAGCUACUGUCUCCAUGGCAUAUGUUUGACCCCACCAUUCCUUCACAGAAAGGCAAAAGUCUUCAGUGCAUGGGCCACCCUCCAUGUUAGGAGCAGUGUCACCUGGUGUCCCUCGGUUAGACUCUGGAGUUCUUCCAUCUACAAUAAACAAAAAGAAAACCUAUCGCAAGCUCUAAUGGGACUCUCCUCCCUUUCUGAUAAACUCACAACUCCAAGUGGUCCCUCUGCUCCAGCCCCCCAACUUCACAGUACUCUGCACUGCAUUUCUCUUGGGUGCUAAAGGCAGGCUUCAAAAUAACCUAUAAUGUAAACACCCUAGCUGUUUCAGCCUUGAACUUAUUUAACUCGGGGGGGGGGGGGGGGGGGACAAUAAGGGAGUCUAGGGCAAGGGGUCAACUGUGAACUGAAAAUGGGAAGCAGGAUUAGGAAACUGCCUGCAUGUGAAGGAAGGAAGUGCCCUGACAAACUGCUAACUACUUGACAAAUAUGCCUCGGGCCAGCUCUUCCUGACACAAGGAAUAUGUCUUCUUUCAUCACUGUCAAGCAUUUAAAGCAUUUUGUAAGAUGCAAGUCUGAAGAUCACCUUGCUUCGUUUUGCUCACACACUCAUUUCUCAAGAUGGGAAAGAGCGAGCAGUGGGAAAUACUUCAUGCUCAGACUUUUAGGUAGGAUCUGGACUGCAUACUAUGAAGGUGUAAAACUGAAGGCCCACAAGGAGCUCUCUUAUACAAACUGACUCAGAGAACUCUCUCUCUCUCUCUCUCUCUCUCUCUCUCUCUCUCUCUCUCUCUCUCNNNNNNNNNNACACACACACACACACACACACACACACACACACACACACAAUUCCAAUCUCAAUCUCCCAGCACCGAAUGGAGAUGUUCAGGAUUUCGUUGAGAAAGGCCCAGAAAAGGGGGUGGAAGGAUAGAAGUAGAAGGAAGAAGCAGAGGAGGAGGAGGAGGAGGAGGAGGAGGAGGAGGAGGAGGAGGAGGAGAGAGAGAGAAAGAGAGAGAGAGAGAGAGAGGAGAAAGAGAAAAAGAGGAGAAAAAGGAGGAGGGGUACCAUGGACUUUUCGGAACACCAUGACAGUACUGGCUACCAAUCAGAGUCUGCCUUGUAAACACUCAGGGUGGCAGCUAUUCCACUCAUGAUCAAAAAGAGUAAGAGAGAACAGAUUAAAAUUCUUCCCUCCAGGGAACAGAAAAAAAAAAAAAGAAGGAGAAAUUUCAUCUCCCCAAUAGACAUAGUCAGAGAUCAGAAAUAGAACCAAAUUGCAGAGAUCCAAAACAGAAAGACAUGAUGAAUAUCUGGUGGGAAAUGAAAAAUAGAGACAAUAAACUCUGAGUCUCGGGAAUAAAGAAAUCCA
ensembl:lncRNA